rnacentral:lncRNA from 1 species
UAAGUUCCGGCGAGAUGAGCGCUGUGAGUCGCAGCCGAGGCUAGCGCGGGACGUCGCCAUCAGCCUAGCUCAGGCCAAGAGCAGAGGGACAGCGGGGACCCUCGCCGCCCACUGUGCGCCCGUAGCCUGGGCUCAGCGAGCGGCGGGCGGCGCUCGGUGUGAUGCGGAAAAUGUGAGAGGCAGUGCAGGGCAGUGGGGAGGUGGGCGCGGAAAAGGGCGGCGGCAAGGCAGAAGGAAAGGCAGCGGGAGAGGCCGGAGACUGGUCGGGGACAGGUGGAAGACAAGAGCAGCGACCGAAAGAAUCAAGAGCACACGGCUGUGGGCGGGAGUGCGGGGGAAGCCGCAGGAGUGGGGCAGCUGGGCCCGGGGCUGGGGUUGUUAGCGCGGCCACGACGGGGCAGGGCACAGCGGAGGAGCGGGAACGCCCGCGGGGUGUCCUCUGGGAGCAGCGGGGAACGUGAGGCGCGGUCGGCCCAGGAAGGGUCUCGCGGAGAGGUCGUUGUGGCAGCGGGGAACCUUGAUGAGCUCCCCAGGAGGGCGAGAACCCAAAGUGCAGAGUCGGGUGUGUAGCGGCGGGGGUGUGUGCGCGCCCGGGUGUGCGCGAGUGUGAGCACACGGGCGGGUGGGAGCGCGCGUUAGGGAUUCUGCUGGCAUCGCAGCGUGGAGAGCAGGAGGCAGGAGCCGGGCGCGCAGGGGAGCGCGGGGGCUCUGCCGCGCACACAUCGUGCGCGCUCUCUUGUGCACAUACACUCUUUUGCACACACACACACACACACACACACACACACACACACACACACACACACNNNNNNNNNNGCACACACGCCCUUUCUGCUUCGUUGGUUGCUGUUGCCACCAUCUCGGAGCUGAGCCCUGCGGAGAGCGAACCCAAGCUGGAGCUGGGAUCGGAGGCGAGCCCAGCCUGGUGAUGCCGGCCCAGAGCAGAGCCCCGCGCGGACGACUAGCUCUGAUGCCUCCUGUAUCCAUAGGCCCUGAGAUUCUGGUACCUAUGGGCAAAAGGGCCAACUGA